UCCGGCUUAACGCCGGCAGUCUCCCUAGAGUCCCCGACAUAACUCGCUGGCAACUAGGGACAGGGGUUGCGCUCGUUGCGGGACUUAACCCAACAUCUCACGACACGAGCUGAGGACAGCCAUGCACCACCUGUGUAGGACCCCGAAGGACACCGUAUCUCUACGGCUUUUCCCUACAUGUCAAACCCAGGUAAGGUUCUUCGCGUUGCCUCGAAUUAAGCAACAUGCUCCGCCGCUUGUGCGAGCCCCCGUCAAUUCCUUUGAGUUUUAGCCUUGCGGCCGUACUCCCCAGGCGGGGCACUUAAUGCGUUAGCGUCGGCGCGGAAGGAGUCGACACCUCCCACACCUAGUGCCCAUCGUUUACGGCGUGGACUAC
rnacentral:misc_RNA from 1 species